rnacentral:sRNA from 1 species
UCAGAGCAGACAGUAUUGCUGAAUGAAGUUGCAAUGACGUGAAGGGGACGUGACAGUUGGCACGUGUGACGUGAGUUGGCGAGCGAGUGAGACACGGAUCUUUAUGGUGGAACCUUGAGGAAGUGAGCCCUGGGCUGGGGCCCGAGUGUGAGCAUGGGCAGUGGGAACAGCGGCCAUAAAGAAAGGCCUUGGCACAGAGGAAAAUGGGCAGGUCAGGAAACCGGCAAUGAACAAAGGGAGAGUGGGAGGUCUCCCCAGACGUACUACGGUUCCAAGUGGCUUCCUAGAUGCAGGUCUUAGGACAAGGGUGUCUCCAGAGCUUGGAAACUGGCCUUGACCCUGUUUCCAGCCCAGCCCUUGAGAAUCAGCCUCUUCCCCUCCGCGUCCAGCCCGCCACCCACAGCUUGUGUGGCAACGUGCACAGAAACAUUCAUGUCUCCAGCUCCUGGAUCCUCCCGGCGACGACUUCCUCAAACCGGUUACUUAAUGAACGUCAUCCAAUUCCGAUUCUGUCUUGCCACAGCCUCAUUUGCGAAAGCCAAUCUGUUUUAUGAUUUUAACCUCUGGCUAGAAACUGCUCCCAAUUUCAUGUCAUCCAUAAACUUGAUGAACG